UACAGAGGGGGCAAGCGUUGUUCGGAAUUACUGGGCGUAAAGGGCGCGUAGGCGGCCACCUAAGUCAGACGUGAAAUCCCUCGGCUUAACCGGGGAACUGCGUCUGAUACUGGUUGGCUUGAGUUUGGGAGAGGGACGCGGAAUUCCAGGUGUAGCGGUGAAAUCCGUAGAUAUCGGGAGGAAUACCAGUGGCGAAGGCGGCCAUCUGGACGGUGACUGACGCUGAGACGCGAAAGCGUGGGGAGCAAACAGG
rnacentral:rRNA from 1 species